CAAGCCUGUAAUGCCUAUGCCUGUAUCAAGACUUAGGAGAUUCUUCAGCACUGUGCCGUUUCUGGCGGUGUGAGGUAGCUCUUAGAAUCUCUCCAUAGAGGUCUGGUAAACAUGCUACGUCCCACAUUCUGGCAUGAAUCACAGCUUGUUGUCAUCCCGCUCUUUCCUGUGGUCUGCAUGGCUAGCAUUCAAUGACAGCAUGCUAUAGAGAAGAAUCAUUGAUCCAAGGAAACUAUGAGGAUUCAUACAGUUUCUUGCUGCUGUGGAUGUUCCAGAGAUGUGACUACCUCCCAGAACUACACAGGCCUCUUUUUUCAGGUAAUUGACAUACAAGUAGU